rnacentral:tRNA from 1 species
UCCGUUGUCGUCCAGUCCGGUUAGGAUAUCUGGUUUUCAGCCAGGCGACCCGGGUUCAAAUCCCGGCAACAGAG